rnacentral:lncRNA from 1 species
UCAGACUAAGGGUGCCUUAGCCUUAGAAGGGGCUUUUCUAAAAUCAGAUCUUUCAUUAAGCCAUUUUCCCUUCUCUCUCUAAAACCAGGUUCUUCAAAUCCUUUGCCUUCUCUCUAGCUUUACUCUCCAUUGAACCAUUCAAAUCUUACUUGGGUGCUGCCAAACCGUUCCUGACGUCAAGGGCUUCACUUCGAACCGAUUACUUUCUCUGUCUCCUUCUGGUAAGUUGUUUCCCUGUUUCCUCCGCCAUUUUCGAAACCAAGGAUUUGGGGUUUUACUGAUUUAAAGCACCCUUUUCUGAUUUCUAUUGUGUUCUAGCCCUAAGAGUUGUUCUCCAUCACCAAUUUGGUGAUUUGUAGGUUCUGUAAGUGCAUUGCCGUGUCACUGUUAGGGCGUUUUCUGUAGACUAUACGGGACAACCUAGAGGUAAGGGGAGCUAGUUAUAUUUCUUUGAAUUAUUUAUUUAUUCUGUAUGUAUGGUGAAUUUUAUUUUGGUGUGUUGUUUUGGAAAAUGAUGAAAAAUUAGUAUGCUUAAUCUAUGAUGGCUUGUCAAGUAGUGAUUUUAUUGAAUUAAAUGGUUGUAGAUUGGACUGUUAUGAGUUGCUUGGGAGUAGAAAAUUCUAUUCUAGUACUGUUAAAAUGGGGAAUCAAUUUCUGGGGUAGUGCUUUAUGGAGUAGUUCAUGGUGGUAUUGAUUGGGUUUCAUUAAGUAUGGGAAAGUAAAAAUUUUAGACUGUGUAAAUGGUGCAGGUUUUAAGAAAGAAGUAGAAAAUAAAAGAAAAAAAACACAAAUGGGAGAAGGUGGGUCGUGAGAGGAUGGGAGGUUUAUGUUUCUGGAGUUGAAAAGAAGAGGAGGAAUUUUAGUUUUUUUAGUGGAGGUGCCAGGGAGUUAGGUUUUGGAAAAUUUAAUAUUUGGAAGGCUUUAAUGGAUUGGAUGUAGACAAAAAUAUAAUUAAGUUAAUAUAAUAUAUUAUGUAAUAUAUAUAAGAAAGAGAGAUUUUCGGAUCUUAAUAUUAAUAUAAUAUNNNNNNNNNNNNNNAUAUAUAUAUAUAUAUAUAUAUAUAUAUAGAUAAUAAGGUAGGACUUACGUAAGUUUAUGCCUAAUAUUAUUUAUUUUAAUAAUAAUUUGAAGUUUGGUUGCAGAGGUGUUGGGUUCAUAGUUUAUUAUUUAUUUUAAAAAGAAAAAGUUGCUAUAUUGAUUAGAAAAUGGAGAUUGAUAAAUAAUAUUAUAUUUUAUAUUAUAUCUAAUCAUUAUUUUUUUAUUAUGAUUCUUGUAUAUUAUAUACAAUAUAUAACUUUCAUACAAAUUAUAUAUAUAUAUGUAUAUUAAAAUUUUUAAGUGAGCAUUAAACUUUUAGUUAGAGUAUUUAUUACUUCUGUUAGCAAUAACAGUCAGGAGUUGGUAUGAAAGGGGAGAAUCAGAGAAGGGAUUCUGGUUCCUUUUUGUUUGUUCCUUAUUUUAUGGUUGAUCAAAUGAUAGUUACUUGGUUUAUGGAGCAUGGUUUAAUAUAAGGCCUUGUCUUUAGAACUUUAACAUGUGUAUUGAUUUUAAUCUAAAGUAUGNGAGUUCGAAAGUAAAGAGGUAUGAUUUCCAGGUUGUUCAUGGUAUGUUUCAAAGUACAUUAUAAUUCAAGUUAGUAAGUGUGAUUCAAAGUGUCAAAUCUCUUGGUGAGAUUCUUAGUGUUUUAAAAUGAAAGUAGGGGCUCAGNCUUGGGAGUNAUUNUGANGCUUCAAUGGUCAAUCAAACUCACUUAGAGAGGUUGAACCAUGUGGUGAGAAGUAGCAGGAGGUCCUUAGUCUUGGGGGUUCCCAGUAUGCCUCAAGGCGCGGAACGGACUAACCUCGUGAGUGUGGCAGGGUGGGGAACCCAAGUUUCAUAAGUCACCACGGGUGCAAGACUCGCCAUAACCCGACUAUCAUUUUAAAGUCCGGACGAGUCAAGUCUAGAAUGAACAUUGCUUAUGUUGUAUUUCUUACUAUUUUGAUCUAAGUUCACUCUUGUAUGAUUAUAUGUUUAAUCUGAUACUUGUUUUUUUUAUAUAAUUAGCUCACCCUUGCAUUGCUUGUGUUGUGCCAUGUUUGUGUGUGCUUUCCUGUUGCGAUGAUCAUCCAUUUUGGACGUGAGCAGAGAAGAAUGAGGUCUCCCUAGAGAACGUCUUGGAAGGAAAUGAAGAUGCUGCUGCUUAGACUCUUUAGGAUUUCUGGGCCUGUUGAGCCCUUUUGGAACACUUUUAAAUUUAUGUCAUUUUGAGAUACUCUAGCACUUUAAGUUUCAAAGUCUUACUCAAUUUGUGGAUGACUGUAAUCCUCAUACUUUAAAUUACUCUAACUGCUUUCUAUUAUUGUAUGUGGUGACGUCUUAUUUUAUAUGCAUGAUGUAUAUAAUGAGAAUGUCACAGUCUAUAUUUUAAUCAAUCUGUAAUCUC